CUGGAGUGAGGUCUCAUGGCUGUUUAUGCGGUGGCUCGCUGCUCAGUACAGGGCUGUACAAAAAGCAUGAUGCUGGCCAUCAGCUCAACUUCUGGGGAGGCGUCAGAAAACUUAGAGUCAUGGCAAAAAGCACAAGGGAAUCAGGCUCAUCCUCCAUGGCCACAGCUGGAGCAAGAAAUAGAAAUCAUCAAGACGAACAGAAAGCAGAUGUCAACAGCCCUCAUAUAAAGUCAUCAUUCUUCAUCCAAUUAAAACCUGAGACAGUUCUCCCACAAGAAGGUCUAAUUCAAAAAGAGACUGGGUUCUCAUGAGGCAGAUUCAUGCAAAACCAAGGGAAGUAUACAACUUUGGGAUUCUCCAGCUUCCCUUGGAAAAGACCUACAAUCAUUUGCUUAGGUAACUGAGCACUGAACGAAGACUUCGUCACCCCCAUGACCUGGUGUUAGGUCCAAUCACUCCAACAUUCCUGGAGCCCAACAUGGAGCAACAAAGACCCCGGUGAAGGAACACUAGAGCGUGUGAAAGCAGAGGAUGCAUCAUCAAAGGACACCCCAGGAUGACUGAAAGAAGCUUGGUGGGAAGGCUGAGCACUUGGAAGAACCAGGAACGGGUCUGUUUCUCAUUAUCAGUGGAAAGUUUUACCUCAUGGUAAGUAUAGCCAAAGAGUAACUCAAAAAGUGAGUUAACAAAUGCUUCAGCAAUGGCAUACCUCCUGGCUACAACCACAAAAGUUUUUGCUUUUGUUUCACUAGAUUUACUAAUGUGGGGUCGAGGGUAUGCUUGUGUUUUUGCAGGAGAUGAAUGAACCAUGUGGGUGCAACCCUCAUAACGUGGGGACAGACCAAGAAAACAGCACAGGAAGCUGAGAAACUGCUGGAGUGCCAGGGUUUUACCUAUAGAUGCUUAACAGGCCAAUGCUUUCUGACUCAGCUCCUCUCUACCCUGAAUACAAGAGACCCUAAUAGUUAGACAGGAGUAUCAUUGCCCCUAUUCAGCAUGAAGAAGUUACAGAAAAUGGACCUUCAUCCUUCUGCAACCCCUAGGAUUAAGGGUCCUCUUUAAAAGGGAAAGGGGAGAUAUGUGGGAAGCAUUCAAACCAGAGUGACUCCAUUUUGAAUAAGAGCUAAGUAGAGCUGAGUAAGUAGAGUUAAGUGGGCUAAGUAAGUAGAGCUAGAGAUAAAUAGGGCUAGAGAUAAAUAGGGCUAGAGAUAAAUAGAGCUAGAGAUAAAUAGAGCUAGAGAUAAAUAGAGCUAGAGAUAAAUAGGGAUAGAUGAAGACUAGCAAUAUAAGGUCAGUGCCCUAAAGAGGUACUGGUCAGUGCCCUAAAAAGGUACAAAAGUAGAGACUAGCAAAGACUAGCAGAGAUUUGCGCAGACAGACAGGAACAUUCUGAAUUAUGGAAAUUAGCUAUGGCUCAAAGUCCAAUCAAUCUGAGAGGGCAAAUAGGAAUAGAGGGGAGAGAGGAAAGGACAAAAAUGCUCUUUCUUUUCUCUCCAACAGAACCUUUUGGAUUCAAAGUUGUGCUAGCAAUAGGAAAUGUUACUCUUGAUAUAAAUACAUACUUUAUUACAAGCCCCAAAUUUCACUUGUUUACCUGCAUUAAUUCAACCUUUGAUAAAAAUCAAACUAUCUUGAUAAUUAAAGGCAGGCAAGGAGUUUGGAUCCCUGUGUCUCUAAAUAGACCAUGGGAGACAUCACCAUCUAUUUAUAUUGUAACUGAGAUCCUUAAAAACUCUUAUCCCAUUCCAACAGAUUUAUAGUUGAAGGCCAUUGGAGGCUCUACAUUUGUGGGUUUUGUUCUGCUGGUUGUGUGCUUGUGCUGUCUCUUUUUAGUCUGCAGAUGCGGAAGCCACCUCUGAAGAGAAAGCAGCCAUGAAGAACAAGCAAUGAGAGCUGUGGUGGUUUUACAAAAAAGAAAAUGGGGGCAUGUUGGGAAAAGCUGAGUGUUGGGAGAAGCUGAGGGAGCACAGAAGUGUACACCACCUGUGACAUUGGGUGUAAUAUCAUCCACUUCCUUCUGGAUGUUAGGAACAAUAUCACGGGGGGGUGUACACCCCCAGCUAUUUUGGGAAUAAUAUUCUCUUCCCCCGUAGAUAUUAGAAACAAUAUCGCAGGGGCUGUGUAGACCCUCUGCGAUAUUAGGAGUAAUAUAAUCAUCUUCCCACCUGGAUAUUAGGAACAAUAUCAUAAUGGGGGUGUACACCCUUUGCGAUAUUGGGAGUAAUAUUAUCCUCUCCCCACCCCCCGGAUAUUAGGAACAAUAUUACAGGUCGGCGUACACCCACUGUGAUAUUAAGAGUACUAUCGGCCGGGCGCGGUGGCUCACGCUUGUAAUCCUAGCACUUGGGGAGGCCGAGGCAGGGGGAUUGCCUGAGCUCAGGAAUUCGAGACCAGCCUGGGCAACACGGUGAAACCCCAUUUCUACUAAAAUACAAAUAAUUAGCCAGUCGUGGCUGCGUGCGUUUGUAAUCCCAACUACUCAGUAGGCUGAGGCGGGAGAAUUGCUUGAACCCGAGAGACGAAGGUUGCACUGAGCCGAUAUGGCGCCACUGCACUUCAGCCUGGGAAACAGAGCGAGACUCUGUCUCUUAAAACAUAAAAAAUUAAAAAAAAAAAAAAAAAAAGCCAGACGCGGUGGUUCAUACUUGUAAUCCCAGCACUUUGGGAGGUCAAGGCGGGCAGAUCACGAGGUCAGGAGAUCGAGACCAUCCUGGCUAACACGGUGAAACCCCGUCUCUACUAAAAAUACAAAAAAAAUUAGCCGGGCAUGGUGGCGGGCGCCUGUAGUCCCAGCUACUUGGGAGGCUGAGGCAGGAGAAUGGCGUGAACCCAGGAGGCAGAGCUUGCAGUGAGCCAAGAUCGUGCCACUGCACUCCAGACUGGGCCACACAGCGAGACUCCGUCUCAAAAAAAAAAAAAAAAAAAAAGAGUAAUAUCAUCUUCUCCCUUCCUGGGUAUCAGGAACAAUAUCACAAGGGGAGUGUACACCCCCUGCGAUAUUCGGAAUAAUAUCAUCCUCUCCACCCCUGGAUAUUAGGAACAAUAUCACAGAGGGUGUACAUUCCCUGAGAUAUUGGGAGUAAUAUCAUCCUUCUUCUGGUUAUUAGGAACAAUAUCACAGAAGGGUAUACAAUUCCUGCAAUAUUGGGAGCAAUAUUAUCCCUUCCCCCUCUGGAUAUUAGAAACAAUAUCCCAUGUGUACACCCCCUGCAAUAUUGGGAAUAAUGUCAUUCUCUCCCCCUGUGAAUAUUAGGAAUAACAUUACAGGGGCGUUGUAUACCCCCUGCGAUAUUGGAAGUAAUAUGGUUUCCCCCCCUAAAUAUUAGGAACAAUAUCACAAGGGGGGUGUACACCCCCGGCAAUAUUGGGAGUAGUAUUCUCUCCCCCCGCCUGAAUAUUAGGAAUACUGUCACUGGGGUGGUGUACACCCCCUGAGAUAUUGAGAGUAAUAUCAUGCUCUUCCCCCCGGAUAUUGAAAACAAUAUCACAGCAGGGUUUACACUCCCUAUGAUAUUGGUAGCAAUAUCAUCCUCUCUUCCACCUGAUUCUCUGUAGGACACGCACAGGGACUUUGUGAGAACAACAAAGAAAGAAAGCCAAGAGGUGAGAACACAAAUGUCUGCCCUUAGGAGGAUGCCCAGGCGGGUGCUGGGGCAGGGAGCCUGGGGAGGCCAUUCGGGCUGACAGCAGCCAGGAUUUGUGUGUCCAGUAGAGGGCGACCCUUCACACUGCUGGCUUUCGAAAGACUCCAUUUUAUGAAAGUGUAAUUAAAACAAGGCUGCCAUUAGGGGCUGCAAAGGUGAUGAGCUCUUGCCUCUUCUGGCUUGUGGAGGCUAUGACAUUCCUUGUCUCAUGCCCACAUAUCGCAUUGCCCUUUCUCCCCAAAUUCAGGCUCACAUCGCCUUCUUCUGAACUGAAUCUCUCUCUGCCUCCCCCCUUACAAAGACACUUGUGGACCAGGUGCAGUGGCUCAUGCCUGUAAUCCCAACACUUUGGAAGGCUGAGGGAGGUGGAUCACCUGAGGUCAGGAGUUCAAGACCAGCCUGGCCAACAUGGUGAAACCCCAUCUCUACUAAAAAUACGAAAAAUUAGCCGGACGUGGUGGCAGACGCCUGUAAUCCCAGCUACUUGGGAGCCUGAAGCAGGAGAAUCACUUGAACCCAGGAGACGGAGGUUGCAGUGAGCCGAGAUUGCACCAUUGCACUCUAGCCUGGGCAACAAGAGCGAAACUCCAUCUCAAAAAAAUAAAAAUAAAAAUUUAAAAAUUUAAAAGGACAUUUGUAAUUCCAUUAGGAUCUAGCCAGAUAAUCCAGGAGAACCUCCCAACCCUGAGAUAUUUAACCUAGCCACGCAUGGUGCUGCAAUCCCAGCACUUUGGGAGGCCGAGCUGGGAAGAUCUCUUGAGCUCAGUUCAAGACCAGCCUGGGCAACAUGGUGAAACCCUGUCUCUACUAAAAAUACAAAAAUUAGCCAGACAUGGUGGCACAAACCUGUAGUCCCAGCUACUUAGGAGGCUGAGGCACAAGAAUCACUUGAACUCAGGAGGUAGAGGUUGCAACGAGUGGAGAUCACCUCACUGCACUCCAGCCUGAGCAACAGAGCCACACUCCAUCUCAAAAGAAAAAAAAAAAGUCAAGAAGAUACUGAUAUGUGUACUAAGGAAAACAGCUUCAUUUAUAUACAACCUGUUGUACAUGAGGAAACAUUCUAAAGAUGACAUAUAUUUCUUCAGAAAGAUGAUGGGACACCAACCAGAACAAGAACCAUUGGAGAUACUCGUUACUCUUUGAAGGCUUACAGUGGAAUGAAUUCAAAUACGACUUAUUUGAGGAAUUGAAGUUGACUUUAUGGAGCUGAUAAGAAUCUUCUUGGAAAAAAAAAGACUGGAUAUAUUUUCAAUAUGCUUUCCUUUUAAGGUCCCGCACCUGUGGAAAGUAAAGAAUGUCACUUUCUGACAGGCUCAGGAACCUCAAGUUAUGUAGGGAUCUCAAGAAGAUUGGGGGAAUUCACCCAGUUCAUACAGGUGAAAUUGCUGUUGCAAAGAUUAUGAAUAUGAGAGAAGUCCAGCAUGGCUGACUUCAUCUCAUGUCUGGCCUCAGGCUGGCUGCCCUUGCUCACUGUUGGGCAUAGGCCAAGCUAGCCAUGGGAGGAAUGUAGUUUAUAGUUUAACUUUGAAGCAAGGAUGAUAAUAGUCUCUCCCUAAAAUGAACCCCUUCCUUGCUCAGGGACUGAAACUACCUUUUUACGACAAAUGAAAGCCCGCAAGAUUAAGACUGUGAGAGGGGCCUGAAUUCUGCUAAAAUGCAGGUGUAGCUGACUGAUAACCAGUCAUUGUCCCACAGCUUGCCUUUCUAUAAUCUGUUGCUCCUCAGGAAUCACAUGGCCAGAGGUCCUGAGAUUUCCAGUCCUGUGACCCCCACCCAGAGAUGGACUUAGUGCAUGAGGACCAUUUUCCACACCCCUAUGAUUUCAUUCUCAAACAAUCAGCACCCAUUCCCUAGCUCCCUGCCUGCCAAAUUAUCCAUAAAAGUCCUAGCCCCUGAGUUAUUAGGGAGAUUGAUUAAUAAUCCCAGUCCUACCCCUUGGGUUGCUCUGAUUUAAUUUAACCUUCUCUACUGCAAUACCACGGACUCAGUGAAUUGGUUUUGUCUGUGCAAUGGGCAAGAAGAACCUGUUGGGUGGUUAUACAGGUACUACAAGCACAGUCUGAUGGCAAAUUAUUGGUUUUGCUUCCUGCCCUUCAUGUUUCUAAACAUCUAGUCCAAAAUUACUCGUGAAAGGUCCAGCAAAGCCAAUUUUAAAAGAGGCUAUAUGGCCAAUCACUAUUCUUUCUGCACAUUAUUGCAAAUAAUCAGGCCACGGCUGGGCACGGUGGCUCAUGCCUGCAAUCCCAGCACUUUGGGAGGCUGAGGCAGGUGGAUCACCUGAGAUCAGGAGUUCAAAACCAGCCUGGGCAACAUGGUAAAACCCUGUCUCUACUAAAAAUACAAAAUUAGCCGGGCAUGGUGGCAUGUACCUGUAAUCCCAGCUACUUGGGAGGCUGAGGGAAGAGAAGCACUUGAACCUGGGAGGCAGAGAUUGCAAUGAGCUGAGAUUACACCACUGCACUCCAGCCUGGGCAAUAGAGUGAGACUUUGUCUCAAAUAAUAAUAAUAAUAAUCAGACCAAGUAUAAUGAAAUUAAAAUUUAUUUUGCAAAUAAAUUGGUCCUACUAUAAUUUAUCCUUCAUAGAAAUGUGGAAACUGAAGAUUAAAAAAAUUAGGUUUCAGAAGAAAACUAUACUAUACCUGUUAUUAGAUGCUAGCCCUAAACAUUGUUUUUGAGGUUUUUAUUAUUUACCUGCAAUUUGGACUAAAUUCGGAAUUAUUUCCUGACUACAAGUAUCCAAAGAAUAAAUGGAUUUUCUUUUUUUUAUGAUAGUUUUUGUUGGCUUCUAAUGCAACAACAAUUUUUAUUGUAAUCCUGUGUGCAUUCUAUUCCUACUAUUCAAAUUAUUAAUGUUACAGAUAUUUCAUUGUAGUACUUCUGAAUUAACCAAAAUCACAGUGUUCUGAAGAUGAUUCUACAAAGUAUGCUGUUUUCUACAAAGGCUGCUGAUGAUUUCUACAAAGCUUGCCGUAUUGUUGCUGUGGCCUCUGCUUAAAAAAGUAGAAAACACAUUGAUGCAGCAUGUUCACCCCAACCUCCCUGCCUAAAGGCUCAGGGACCACUGCAGAAGAGGAAGGUGCAUGAGAUUGUAAGAGCCGAAUUAGGGGGAUGGAGUGUGGAGGAUAAGGACACUUCAUCUUGGACGCUCACCGCCAAAUUGACUUCUGAUGAAAGCCAGCUCCAGAAAUGUGCCUACAGUUUCUACUUUCACCUAAACCCUGCCCUUAGUCAAAUCCUUCUCUUCUUCUAAGCAAUCAACUUCAAUUCCUUGUACAACCCACAGUAAAAAAGGGCUUUUAUACCAUUCUAUCUUAUUGCAUGUAAGCCUUGGGUCUGGGAGGUAACAGUGUGGGAUUCCACCAUCUCAUCUCCCUGCCACCCAAACAUGCCCGCUCUUCUUUAAGCAAUAUUAAAUUUGAUUUGUCAGCCUCUU